CGCCUACGGCAAACCCUAUUCUUUUCUUCAUCAAUUCAUUCCCCUUAUUCAAUGUAUCUUUCUCAAUCCUUUCAACCGACCAUUCAUUUCGUCCAUUCUUCUUCGACGAUUCUACUUCUAUGAGUUUCACGAUUCAUUCUCUUUAAUGAGUGAAACAAUUGAACGGGAAUUCGGUGGUGAUGGCAGGAAACACUCAAGAUUCGUUGCCUCAGUCUUUUUAAGAAAGCUACAAAGGGUUUUGGGCGAGAGGUUUUGAAAGAAGAUUCUGUAUUUUUGGCAGCGUUAAGAAGAUCAACAUUGGUCAAAUGUAAAUUUCCUGUUUGAAUUAGAUUGACUGUUAGUUUUGUAAUGCAGGUUCAACAAGAAAUAUAAAACAAACAAUUAGAAUUGGAAAAAUAUGUCAUCAUAAUGAAGCUUGUUGAGAAUCCCAUCAUCAUUGGUCAGAAUUAAUGUGCCAACAACCAAGGUUGUCCUGACCAUGUAAUCAUCAAUAAUCCAACUUAGCAUGAUUAAAAUCUCUACACUUUUUUUAUAUACUUUUAAAACUCUUAGCUGGUUGUUUCCGCGUAGUUGCAUCUAGAGCUGGUUUAGGUUGGUGCUAUUGUCAAAGGCUGAAUUUUGGUUACUACAAUUUGUAAACUUUUGUAUGUCACAAUUAUAUUUAUCUUUUUUU